rnacentral:tRNA from 1 species
ACUUAGAUAAUUUAAUAAUAAAAAUUUUGAUUUGUGGUGUCAAAUAUGUACUAGGUACUUUAAGUU